UUCCUCCCGCCAGACUGACUUGCACCUUCGCUAUAAUUUCUCUUCCCCUCGUUUUUUUUUUCUUCUACUCUUCUCCCUGCUUCCAAACCCUGUGUCUGUGUGUUUCAAUACUAUCACAACCUCCGCUAAAAAUAGAUCUUUUUAUAUACCCUUCCUCCUCUCUGACCCCAUCCAACACCCCUUGUUAAGGUGAGUUUUGUUCAGAUUGGACAGAAUUG